rnacentral:rRNA from 1 species
CCUACGGGUGGCAGCAGUUGGGAAUAUUGCACAAUGGGGGAAACCCUGCUGCAGCGACUCCGCGUGCGUGAAGAAGUAUUUCGGUAUGUAAAGCUCUAUCAGCAGGGAAGAAAUGGCGACCUUUGGGUCGCCAGACGGUACCUGACUAAGAAGCCCCGGCUAACUACUUGCCAGCAGCCGCGGUAAUACGGAGGGGGCAAGCGUUAUCCGGAUUUACUGGGUGUAAAGGGAGCGUAGACGGCAGCAGAAGUCUGAAGUGAAAUGCCGGGGCUUAACCCCGGAGAUGCUUUGGAAACUGUGGAGCUAGAGGGAAGGAGAGGUAAGUGGAAGUCCUAGUGUAGCGGUGAAAUGCGUAGAUAUUAGGAGGAACACCAGUGGCGAAGGCGGCUUACUGGACUGUAACUGACGUUGAGGCUCGAAAGCGUGGGGAGCAAACAGGAGUAGAUACCCCUGUAGUC